CAGACCUUGUGCUCGUAACAUUCAGUUCACUUCAGUCGCCUGCGUAUAACAACGGGAUAGAGCAAACGACUUAGAGGGCCUUUGGAUCUUCAUAUAUUUACUCUCUUGGCUCUGGUAGCGGCCGUCGUGUUGGAGCCCGGAAUGCAGCGGCCGGGUAGUCCUCGACCACCCCGACCGGCUCCGCCAAGACCGAGGCCACCAAACCCGCCCCCGCGACCACAGCCCCCGCCACCCACGCCGCCAGCAGCAGCUGCGGCUCCAGUUAUCAACCCUCAUCCAACGAGGCGAAUCGAUCUGGGAAUGUUCGAGAAAGAAUCAUUCUAGAGCUUGCUGCGGAACACGUUUGGUUAUCAUCCGUUUUGUCUGUCAGCAUGCGCACAGCACAAUGAAUCCAGCAGAAAAUGAUGCAUCACAGGACUCCCUCGAGAAGAUUUGCUACAAUCUGACAAUAAUCAUUGUUAUGAGUUCGGUGUUAGUUCUUUUAUGGCUUUACGGACGGACUACAAGGGGAAAACUACCACAGGUGUCUGGAAAUGCUGGGGUAGCCUC